rnacentral:rRNA from 1 species
AUUGAACGCUGGCGGCAUGCCUUACACAUGCAAGUCGAACGGCAGCACGGGUGCUUGCACCUGGUGGCGAGUGGCGAACGGGUGAGUAAUACAUCGGAACAUGUCCUGUAGUGGGGGAUAGCCCGGCGAAAGCCGGAUUAAUACCGCAUACGAUCUACGGAUGAAAGCGGGGGACCUUCGGGCCUCGCGCUAUAGGGUUGGCCGAUGGCUGAUUAGCUAGUUGGUGGGGUAAAGGCCUACCAAGGCGACGAUCAGUAGCUGGUCUGAGAGGACGACCAGCCACACUGGGACUGAGACACGGCCCAGACUCCUACGGGAGGCAGCAGUGGGGAAUUUUGGACAAAGGGCGAAAGCCUGAUCCAGCAAUGCCGCGUGUGUGAAGAAGGCCUUCGGGUUGUAAAGCACUUUUGUCCGGAAAGAAAUACUUGGCCCUAAUACGGUCGGGGGAUGACGGUACCGGAAGAAUAAGCACCAGCUAACUACGUG